AACGAACGCUGGCGGCAUGCCUAACACAUGCAAGUCGAACGAGACCUUCGGGUCUAGUGGCGCACGGGUGCGUAACGCGUGGGAACCUGCCCUUAGGUUCGGAAUAACUCCCCGAAAGGGGUGCUAAUACCGGAUAAUGUCUUAGGACCAAAGAUUUAUCGCCUUUGGAUGGGCCCGCGUUGGAUUAGCUAGUUGGUAGGGUAAAAGCCGACCAAGGCGACGAUCCAUAGCUGGUCUGAGAGGAUGAUCCGCCACACUGGGACUGAGACACGGCCCAGACUCCUACGGGAGGCAGCAGUGGGGAAUAUUGGACGAUGGGCGAAAGCCUGAUCCAGCAAUGCCGCGUGAGUGAUGAAGGCCUUAGGGUUGUAAAGCUCUUUUACCCGGGAUGAUAAUGACAGUACCGGGAGAAUAAGCUCCGGCUAACUCCGUG
rnacentral:rRNA from 1 species